rnacentral:rRNA from 1 species
GAUGAACGCUGGCGGCGUGCCUAAUACAUGCAAGUCGAGCGAACAGACGAGGAGCUUGCUCCUCUGACGUUAGCGGCGGACGGGUGAGUAACACGUGGAUAACCUACCUAUAAGACUGGGAUAACUUCGGGAAACCGGAGCUAAUACCGGAUAAUAUAUUGAACCGCAUGGUUCAAUAGUGAAAGACGGUUUUGCUGUCACUUAUAGAUGGAUCCGCGCCGCAUUAGCUAGUUGGUAAGGUAACGGCUUACCAAGGCGACGAUGCGUAGCCGACCUGAGAGGGUGAUCGGCCACACUGGAACUGAGACACGGUCCAGACUCCUACGGGAGGCAGCAGUAGGGAAUCUUCCGCAAUGGGCGAAAGCCUGACGGAGCAACGCCGCGUGAGUGAUGAAGGUCUUCGGAUCGUAAAACUCUGUUAUUAGGGAAGAACAAUGUGUAAGUAACUAUGCACGUCUUGACGGUACCUAAUCAGAAAGCCACGGCUAACUACGUG